AACGUACCUUUUGGUUCGGAACAACUGAGGGAAACUUCAGCUAAUACCGGAUAAGCCCUUACGGGGAAAGAUUUAUCGCCGAAAGAUCGGCCCGCGUCUGAUUAGCUAGUUGGUGAGGUAAUGGCUCACCAAGGCGACGAUCAGUAGCUGGUCUGAGAGGAUGAUCAGCCACAUUGGGACUGAGACACGGCCCAAACUCCUACGGGAGGCAGCAGUGGGGAAUAUUGGACAAUGGGCGCAAGCCUGAUCCAGCCAUGCCGCGUGAGUGAUGAAGGCCCUAGGGUUGUAAAGCUCUUUUGUGCGGGAAGAUAAUGACGGUACCGCAAGAAUAAGCCCCGGCUAACUUCGUGCCAGCAGCCGCGGUAAUACGAAGGGGGCUAGCGUUGCUCGGAAUCACUGGGCGUAAAGGGUGCGUAGGCGGGUCUUUAAGUCAGGGGUGAAAUCCUGGAGCUCAACUCCAGAACUGCCUUUGAUACUGAAGAUCUUGAGUUCGGGAGAGGUGAGUGGAACUGCGAGUGUAGAGGUGAAAUUC
rnacentral:rRNA from 1 species